UACGGAGGGUGCAAGCGUUAUCCGGAUUCACUGGGUUUAAAGGGUGCGUAGGUGGGUUGGUAAGUCAGUGGUGAAAUCCCCGAGCUUAACUUGGGAACUGCCAUUGAUACUAUCAGUCUUGAAUACCGUGGAGGUCAGCGGAAUAUGUCAUGUGGCGGUGAAAUGCUUAGAUAUGACAUAGAACACCAAUUGCGAAGGCAGCUGGCUACACGAAUAUUGACACUGAGGCACGAAAGCGUGGGGAUCAAACAGG
rnacentral:rRNA from 1 species